rnacentral:rRNA from 1 species
AGUGCUGAAAGCAUCUAAGCACGAAACUUGCCCCGAGAUGAGUUCUCCCUGAGACUUUAGGUCUCCUGAAGGAACGUUGAAGACGACGACGUUGAUAGGCCGGGUGUGUAAGCGCAGCGAUGCGUUGAGCUAACCGGUACUAAUGAACCGUGAGGCUUAACCUUACAACGCCGAAG